rnacentral:lncRNA from 1 species
AGAAACUGAAACAACGGCGGUUUUCUGUUCUACCGUCGUCUUUUCUCGUCGUCUAUAUUAAGGUAAGAUGGCGGUAGAUUUAUAAUUACCGACGUAGAUUAUUUUGUUAAACGUCGUUAAGUGUACUACAACCGACGUGGAUUUUAUUUUUAAAUUAUAAAUAGAGUUUUUUUUUCCGAAUUCUUUCAGUUUUAGUUUUC